rnacentral:rRNA from 1 species
UGCCAGCCGCCGCGGUAAUACGGAGGGAGCGAGCGUUAAUCGGAAUUACUGGGCGUAAAGCGCGCGUAGGCGGCUUUGUAAGUCGGAUGUGAAAGCCCAGGGCUCAACCCUGGAAUUGCAUUCGAUACUGCAUGGCUAGAGUAUGGUAGAGGGAAGUGGAAUUUCCGGUGUAGCGGUGAAAUGCGUAGAUAUCGGAAGGAACACCAGUGGCGAAGGCGACUUCCUGGGCCAAUACUGACGCUGAGGUGCGAAAGCGUGGGGAGCAAACAGGAUUAGAUA